UACGUAGGUCCCGAGCGUUGUCCGGAUUUAUUGGGCGUAAAGCGAGCGCAGGUAGUUUAUUAAGUCUGGUGUAAAAGGCAGUGGCUCAACCAUUGUAUGCAUUGGAAACUGGUAGACUUGAGUGCAGGAGAGGAGAGUGGAAUUCCAUGUGUAGCGGUGAAAUGCGUAGAUAUAUGGAGGAACACCGGUGGCGAAAGCGGCUCUCUGGCCUAUAACUGACACUGAGGCUCGAAAGCGUGGGGAGCAAACAGG
rnacentral:rRNA from 1 species